rnacentral:rRNA from 1 species
AGGAAUCKGCCCGGUAGKGGGGGAUAACCKGGGGAAACCCAGGCUAAUACCGCAWACGUCCUACGGGAGAAAGGGGGCUUCGGCUCCCGCUAUKGGAUGAGCCUAUGUCGGAUUAGCURGUUGGKGAGGUAAKGGCUCACCAAGGCAACGAUCCGUAGCUGGUCUGARAGGAUGAUCAGCCACAUCGGGACUGARACACGGCCCGAACUCCUACGGGAGGCAGCAGKGGGGAAUAUUGGACAAKGGGGGCAACCCUGAUCCAGCCWUGCCGCGKGKGUGAARAAGGCCCUCGGKUUGUAAAGCAYUUUCAGCGAGGAARAACGCCKGGCGGUUAAUACCCGCCAGGAAAGACWUCAYUCGCARAARAAGCACCGGCUAAYUCCGUGCCAGCAGCCGCGGUAAUACGGAGGGUGCAAGCGUUAAUCGGAAUUACKGGGCGUAAAGCGCGCGUAGGUGGCUUGAUAAGCCGGUUGUGAAAGCCCCGGGCUCAACCKGGGAACGGCAUCCGGAACUGUCAGGCUAGAGUGCAGGAGAGGAAGGUAGAAUUCCCGGUGUAGCGGUGAAAUGCGUAGAGAUCGGGAGGAAUACCAGUGGCGAAGGCGGCCUUCUGGACUGACACUGACACUGAGGUGCGAAAGCGUGGGUAGCAAACAGGAUUAGAUACCCUGGUAGUCCACGCCGUAAACGAUGUCGACCAGCCGUUGGG